rnacentral:tRNA from 1 species
GCCCUGGUAGCGUAAUGGUCAAGUGCUUGACUGCUAAAUGAAAGGUUGGUGGUUCAAACCCACCCAGCGGCU